GGGAAGCUAGCCGGUGACGGUGCGCGAAUCCCAAAAAUAACGUCUCAGUUCGGAUUGUAGUCUGCAACUCGACUACAUGAAGCUGGAAUCGCUAGUAAUCGCGGAUCAGAAUGCCGCGGUGAAUACGUUCCCGGGUCUUGUACACACCGCCCGUCACACCAUGGGAGUCGGAAAUGCCCGAAGUCUGUGACCGAACCGAAAGGAAGGAGCAGCCGAAGGCAGGUCGGAUGACUGGGGUGAAGUCGUAACAAGGUAUC
rnacentral:rRNA from 1 species